rnacentral:pre_miRNA from 1 species
AGGUUGGGAUGAGCAGCAAUAUUAACACUUCACUCAAUAUUGCACUUGUCCCGGCCUAU